AUGUGUGGAAUAUUUCCUCUUUGUUUUGCACACAGGGUGAGACUUUUCCCUCCGUUUGUUCUGGGGAGGCUGCACCGCGGGCUCUGCAGCGUGAAUCUCACCUUCUCAUUCUGUGAUCCCUUCAGACAACCGACCAGAGAGGCAGGAAGGACCUGGCAGGAGAGCAGGAGGCAAGAGGAGAGCCUAAGGAACUUCCUUUCACCUGCUCCGAGCUCCAGUCUGCAUCUCACCAGCAGCCACAGGCAACAAGGGCUCGUGCUACCGGUUACUUCCGGCACGUCCAUCUACAGCUGGCUGCACGGAGACUUUCAGUUUCUUUGGACAGAGGUUCCAAGGACACCCAAUAGCCUAGAGAGACUCCGUCAGACAGAGAAGUGAGGCCUGUAGCCAACAGCCCCAUGAGUGAGCCUGGAACGGACUCCUCCAGCCCCACUGAGCCUUCAGAUGACUGCGGUUUGACUGAAACCUCAUAAGAAAGCCUGAGUCAGAACCACCCAGCUGAAGCUGUUCUGAAUUCCUGACCCUCAGACACCACAUGAGGUAGUAAAUGUUUGUUAUUUGACAUUUUAAAAAUAAAGCUCC
rnacentral:lncRNA from 1 species